rnacentral:rRNA from 1 species
UAGCGGUGAAAUGCGUAGAGAUCGGGAGGAAUACCAGUGGCGAAGGCGGCCUUCUGGACUGACACUGACACUGAGGUGCGAAAGCGUGGGUAGCAAACAGGAUUAGAUACCCUGGUAGUCCACGCCGUAAACGGUGUCGACCAGCCGUUGGGUGCCUAGCGCACUUUGUGGCGAAGUUAACGCGAUAAGUCGACCGCCUGGGGAGUACGGCCGCAAGGUUAAAACUCAAAUGAAUUGACGGGGGCCCGCACAAGCGGUGGAGCAUGUGGUUUAAUUCGAUGCAACGCGAAGAACCUUACCUACUCUUGACAUCCUGCGAACUUGUGAGAGAUCACUUGGUGCCUUCGGGAGCGCAGAGACAGGUGCUGCAUGGCUGUCGCCAGCUCGUGUUGUGAAAUGUUGGGUUAAGUCCCGUAACGAGCGCAACCCUUGUCCUUAUUUGCCAGCGGGUAAUGCCGGGAACUCUAAGGAGACUGCCGGUGACAAACCGGAGGAAGGUGGGGACGACGUCAAGUCAUCAUGGCCCUUACGAGUAGGGCUACACACGUGCUACAAUGGCCGGUACAAAGGGUUGCGAGCUCGCGAGAGUCAGCUAAUCCCGAAAAGCCGGUCUCAGUCCGGAUCGGAGUCUGCAACUCGACUCCGUGAAGUCGGAAUCGCUAGUAAUCGUGAAUCAGAAUGUCACGGUGAAUACGUUCCCGGGCCUUGUACACACCGCCCGU